ensembl:lncRNA
GAGUGUGUAACACCGGAGACCAUUAAGACCAACAGGUCUGUGGAUGCUGGUUCUGUUCCAAAGACAUCUGAGGCACAGAGGCUUUUUGAAGCAAUGCAGCAAUGAGAAAAGAGGACAAUCUGACAUCUGCCUAAGCCUGGCACAAGAGAGAUGCAGAGGAACAGAGCAGAGCAGUAAGAAGUCCCUAUCUAAGGAUCCCCAGCAUGAACACUGCUCCAGCUCCUAAAAAAGGUGCUCCUGCCCAGCACAGAUCAGUCAUGACCACUGGUAGAGACUGCCUAAUUAGGAUAUGGUUGAUAUCUGCUGGGAUUCCUCCUGUGAUGUGUCUGGAGUAGGUAUAGAGCAGGAACUUUAGCCUUUCUCUCUCAAAUGGAAAACCAGCUCUUAAUUCACUGGCUUAUUGACUACUUUACUACAGAGCUCCGGCACACUUUGCUGCUGGAGCUGUUUGCUGCUUGCCUCUGAAAUGCCAAAAGCCUUUGUACGUAGGCCUUGCAAGCAGGAAUUUGCAGCCUGCCUUUGCUCACUACUGGGCACUUUUUCACCCAAGCUGAUGCAGCUGUGUUUUCUCAAUUGCCUCUUCGGGUGCUUUCCUGUUGUGGUGCUGCUAUUCUUACGGUUUUGCAUCUGCAGACGUUGUCAUCGCUGCCAUGAUGCAUGCUUAUAUGGAUGUGAGAAUUUUACCUGCUUUCCUCCCUUUUCCUAGGCUUUGGUCGUGACACUGAUUGUGUUUGGGAUCGCAGUUACAUGCAUGCACAGAGCUCAACAGCCAGAUGGUGUGCUACCUCUGAGCAAGGUGUGCAUUAGUGUGUACAACAUCCUAUCAACAGGGGCAAACAAGAGGGAGCCUGUGGGACUAAUGGCAGUCUGAUUGGUUGCUAUGGGAAAGUACUAUGGGAGUACUGGAGAUUAAACUAAAUCAAGGACACUUGCCUGGGAACCUCCAUAACUUCUUUCCACACUCAUUCCAGAGAUUCCUUUCCUUUUCCUUCUCUCUCUGAUCUUGUCUUUGUUUUCUCCCAAAAGUAACUUCCAGCAUGGUCAGUGCAUACCAUCAGGUACAGACCGUGAUAAUUAAACUUUGCACAUUUCUCUCAGCGUGCUUCGUACAACAUGCUCCAUGCCAUAUAAAUAACUAAGCCAGAGAAAUGAUGGCCCCUGGGCAAGGCCUUUUCCAGGAGCCCCCAUGCCCAUCAAUGGCAGUGGGCAUGGGGUCAGUUUCAGCUCCAGAGCCCUGAGGUGCCAGCAGGGAGCAGGCUUGGCGUGAAGACCUCACUGAAGGUUUCCGGAGCUACUGCUUUGUCAAAUGCUCAGUGCAGUAACACAGAUCAGUUCUGGUUGGCUUUCAACCAGGACAAUUAAUUUUGCCAGAAAAUUAUUGAUCAGUCCUGUUGGAAAUAUCCAAAUAAUUUUGUCAGGACGGUAUCUCUGAUAAAAGCAGAUUUUAUUCACGAUUGCAAUGGCGGGCGUCCCACAAGCAGGAACGCCCCUAAGGGCACAGUGACAGCUUUUGUACCUUGCUUCCCUCUUUGUCUGUCCCCCUCCUCUGUCUCCCCAUUGGCUGGGUACUCCAGGUUCACAAUUUUAUCAAGGGUUUACAUUUGUUAAUUUGUGUGCUGUCUGGUGUCAGUCAGUAGCCAUCCUGUUGUUUCCAAGAUGUCUCAGUACUCUUCUUGUUGUAAUAAUAUAGUAAUUUUCUUCAAAGUCUUCAUUAAAUAAAGAGUAUCAGGGGGCAGGGGGGAUGCCAGGCCUCCCCGAUGUCUCUUGAGGUGCUUCCUU